AUUGAACGCUGGCGGAAUGCUUUACACAUGCAAGUCGAACGGCAGCACGGGGGCAACCCUGGUGGCGAGUGGCGAACGGGUGAGUAACACAUCGGAACGUGCCCAGUCGUGGGGGAUAACGUAGCGAAAGCUACGCUAAUACCGCAUACGAUCUCUGGAUGAAAGCGGGGACCUGUAAGGGCCUCGCGCGAUUGGAGCGGCCGAUGGCAGAUUAGGUAGUUGGUGGGGUAAAGGCCACCAAGCCGACGAUCUGUAGCUGGCCUGAGAGGACGACCAGCCACACUGGGACUGAGACACGGCCCAGACUCCUACGGGAGGCAGCAGUGGGGAAUUUUGGACAAUGGGCGCAAGCCUGAUCCAGCCAUUCCGCGUGCAGGAUGAAGGCCCUC
rnacentral:rRNA from 1 species